rnacentral:rRNA from 1 species
AUUGAACGCUGGCGGCAUGCCUUACACAUGCAAGUCGAACGGUAACAGGUCUUCGGAUGCUGACGAGUGGCGAACGGGUGAGUAAUACAUCGGAACGUGCCUAGUAGUGGGGGAUAACUACUCGAAAGAGUGGCUAAUACCGCAUGAGAUCUGCGGAUGAAAGCAGGGGAUCGCAAGACCUUGUGCUACUAGAGCGGCCGAUGGCAGAUUAGGUAGCUGGUGGGAUAAAAGCUUACCAAGCCGACGAUCUGUAGCUGGUCUGAGAGGACGAUCAGCCACACUGGGACUGAGACACGGCCCAGACUCCUACGGGAGGCAGCAGUGGGGAAUUUUGGACAAUGGGCGCAAGCCUGAUCCAGCAAUGCCGCGUGCAGGAUGAAGGCCUUCGGGUUGUAAACUGCUUUUGUACGGAACGAAAAGCUCUGGGUUAAUACCCUGGGGUCAUGACGGUACCGUAAGAAUAAGCACCGGCUAACUACGUGCCAGCAGCCGCGGUAA